GUGAACGAGCGACGCCGCGUGCGGGAUGAAGGUUCUCGGAUUGUAAACCCCUUUCGACCGGAACGAAUCCCCUCCUGGUAAAUAAUCAGGAGGAUCGACGGUACCGGGAGAAGAAGCCACGGCUAACUCUGUGCCAGCAGCCGCGGUAAGACAGAGGUGGCGAGCGUUGUUCGGAUUUAUUGGGCGUAAAGCGAACGCAGGUGGUUUGGUAAGUCAGGGGUGAAAGCCCACAGCUUAACUGUGGCACUGCCUUUGAUACUGCCUUUCUAGAGUGCAUGAGGGGGAAGCGGAAUUCCGAGUGUAGAGGUGAAAUUCGUAGAUAUUCGGAGGAACACCGGUGGCGAAGGCGGCUUCCUGGCAUGUAACUGACACUCAUGUUCGAAAGCGUGGGUAGCAAACAGGAUUAGAUACCCUGGUAGUCCACGCCCUAAACGAU
rnacentral:rRNA from 1 species